rnacentral:ncRNA from 1 species
AACUAAUUUAAUUUAAUUAAAAAUUAGUUUUAAAAAUUAAAAAGUCAGUAUAUUUAGACCAGAAAAGUUUGAUUCUAGCUUCAAAUUUAAUUAGUUAAAUUUUAUCAUAUACAAUUAGGUAGUGUUAAGUAUUAUAUUAAUAAUAGUUAUAAAAAUUUUAGGCCUUAAAGCAGAAGAAUUUUGUGCCAGCGUCUGCGGUUAGACAAUCACUUAAAAUUAAGUUAUCCGGUUUAAUAAAAUUUUAUUAAUUUAUUAAAAUACCUAUUUUAAUUAAGUGAAACUAUAUUUUGGGAAUUAUUUUUUGUAUAAAGGUUUUUUAAGAUUAAUUCUGAGACUAGGAUUAGAUACCCUUUUAUUUAAUUUAUAUUUUUUCUUAGGUAGUAUCACUUAUUAAAACUUAAAGAAUUUGGCGGUAAGUUAUUUUUUUAGAGGAACCUGUCCUGUUAUAGAUGGUACACUAUUAUUUUUACUUUAUUUAAAUUUAUAUACCGUUGUUGUAAAAAUUAAAUGACUAUUUAAUUUAAUUAUUUUAAUUGAUUUAAAUUCAAAUCAAGGUUUAGUUUAUAAUAAAGAAGAGAUGGGUUACAUUUUUUGUUAAAGUCUGAGUCUAAAUUUAGUCUGAGUUGGAUUUAAAAGUAAUUAUAUUAAAUAAUUUAUAUGAAUUAAACUCUAAUUUAUGUACAUAUCGCCCGUCGCUCUAAUUAUGAAAUUAGAUAAGUCGUAACAAAGUAGGCGUUCUGGAAAGAGUAUCUUGACAAAA